rnacentral:rRNA from 1 species
GACGAACGCUGGCGGCGUGCCUAAUACAUGCAAGUUGAGCGCUGAAGGUUGGUACUUGUACCAACUGGGUGAGCAGCGAACGGGUGAGUAACGCGUGGGUCAUCUGCCUUUGAGCGGGGGACAACAUUUGGAAACGAAUGCUAAUACCGCAUAAAACCUUUAAACACAAGUUUUAAGUUUGAAAGAUGCAAUUGCAUCACUCAAAGAUGAUCCCGCGUUGUAUUAGCUAGUUGGUGAGGUAAAGGCUCACCAAGGCGAUGAUACAUAGCCGACCUGAGAGGGUGAUCGGCCACAAUGGGACUGAGACACGGCCCAAGCUCCUACGGGAGGGAGCAGUAGGGAAACUUCGGCAAUGGGCGAAAGUCUGACCGAGCAAAGCCGGGUGAGUUGAGAAGGUUUUCGGAUCGUAAAACUCUGUUGGUAGAGAAGAACGUUGGUGAGGGUGGAAAGCUCAUCAAGUGACGGUAACUACACAGAAAGGGACGGCUAACUACGUG